AGGUUUGUCAGCACCAGCUGGCACUUCGCCAAGUCAUCAUCAGAAGACAAACUCGGCCGGCAGUCAGGAUUCUCCCUCGCUUCUCUGAGCAGCUGGUAAGCGUUGGAUGCUAAUGUGUUGUACGUGAUUCUGCGAACUCGCGUAUUAUUAUUGUUAAUGGCGAUUUUUAUUGUGGUCGUUUUUUGUAGAAUGUCCUCGAUGAAGAGGGUGGUCCCACCAUGGUUGAGUGAUGCUAAACUCGAGUACUUGUACUCGUGUCCGAAAACGAGCAGAUUGCAGGGGACCGUGCUGCGGAAGAAUUCCAAGAGAAACUGCAUUUCCUUAUCUGUUGGGCGGUUGCUUUCGGAGGGAUCUUGAUCUUGGAUAUUCUGUGCACAGACCGAAGAAGACGAAGAAGAACAAUCGAGGUGGUGGAUGGGAGAAUUAAUAGUGCUUCUGAUCAUACUUAUAUUGAGAAAUCUGAAGAUUGAAGCACCGAAUAAAAUGAAAACAAGAAGUGGGAUUAGCUUCUUUUUUGUGAAUUUCAUUCUAUUUUGUCGAUACUUUUGACGCAGAAUCUGCUUAAGA
rnacentral:lncRNA from 1 species